GUAAGAGAGCCAGCCCAGUGCCAGUGCCAGGAAUGGAGUGUUCAGCGGUGCCGGCAAGGUUUAGGCGGUAAGAGAGCCAGCCCAGUGCCAGUGCCAGGAAUGGAGUGUUCAGCGGUGCCGGCAAGGUUCAGUCGACAAUGUUUGGUAGAGUACGGUGACCCAAGACCCAGACCGAGGCCAAGGUGUGUCCCGAGACCCAGACCGAGGCCAAGACGCGAUGUAAACAAACCCUGGCGUGGCGCCGCGCACCUCUGCUCCCCCUGCCGCCAGCACCACACGGCUGGCCCUGCUGCUGCUGCCUGUGCCGCACACCUACAGCCUUCCUCCUCGUCCUCGUCAUCGUCCUCGCCACAGUGGAGCAC